GAUGAAGAACGCAGCGAAAUGCGAUAAGUAGUGUGAAUUGCAGAAUUCAGUGAAUCAUCGAAUCUUUGAACGCACAUUGCGCCCCUUGGUAUCCCGAGGGGCAUGCCUGUUCGAGCGUCAUUACAACCCUCAAGCUCUGCUUGGUGUUGGGCCCCGCCGCCCCGGCGGGCCCUAAAGUCAGUGGCGGUGCCGUCCGGCUCCGAGCGUAGUAAUUUUUCUCGCUUUGGAGGCCCGGGCGCGUGCUUGCCAUCAACCCCCAAUUUUUUUCAGGUUGACCUCGGAUCAGGUAGGGAUACCCGCUGAACUUAAGCAUAUCAAUAAGCGGAGGA
rnacentral:misc_RNA from 1 species